AUCUUAAGUUUUACCAAUCUUUCUUUCGCCACCAUUAUUGUAUUAGUUUUUUUCGUUUUUCAAAGCAAAUAUAAACCAACAAACGUUUGCGUUUUAAUCAUAGAUUUUUCCGUGACCAACAAACGAUUGCGCAUCGAUUGAACUAAGAUUGAAAUAAAAAUAAUAUCUUUUCGGCUAACUUCACAUAAAAGUUUAUUUUCGUAUUUAAAAAAAAAUUUAUUAACCACCAAACGUUGUAAUUAGGCCAACAAUUACCAACAAACGAUUCGUAAAAAAAAAAUUAUAAAAAUGAAUUUUGACAGGCUAAUUUUAUGGAGCUCCACCUUCGGUUAAGGUAACCGACGGUUAAAAUCAGCAGGGUGGCAACUGAAAUGAUAAGAAUGCUUGGUUUUCCUUCACCUCUAUUUUUUUUUUGUUAAGCAGGGAGCACACACUUUUCCAUAACGCAUAACGCAUAAUGCUUAGCACAUAGCAUAACAUGCAGCAACGCACACGUAUGUAUGUACGAUACAUAAGAAUUUUAUAUUCAAGAUGGCGAAGUUCGUUUUUUAACUUAAAAGUGUGAAAAUCUUUGGCAAAAUAUUGUGAAAGUAAAAAGUUGUGAAAUAUUCGAGAAGCGAUGUCUGAUUAUAUACCUAGAUACAAGGCGUCUGUUUCCAUAAAUAUGAAUGAAAAUGAUCUUAUUUUGUUCGUUUUGCAAUUGUGCCUAUUGGCGUUAUUAAAGAAAAGAAAACGAAGAAAAAGAUGGCUAAAUUAGAGAUGGUGGGUUAGACCCAUUAACGUUGUAUAUAUGGGGAUUAUGAACACCUCUUUCAAAAGAUAAAGUAUAAUGAUCCAAGUAUAUUUUGUCGAUAUACAAGGAUGAGAGAGGAAACUUUUAAGCUUCUGCUACAAAUGACAAGACCAUUUUUGACCAAAUCAACCAAAUCAUCGAGCAUUUAGUCCAGAGCAGCGUAUUUGAUCAUAACUCUAAG